AACGAACGCUGGCGGCAUGCCUAACACAUGCAAGUCGAACGAGACCUUCGGGUCUAGUGGCGCACGGGUGCGUAACGCGUGGGAACCUGCCCUUAGGUUCGGAAUAACUCCCCGAAAGGGGAGCUAAUACCGGAUAAUGUCUUCGGACCAAAGAUUUAUCGCCUUUGGAUGGGCCCGCGUUGGAUUAGCUAGUUGGUAGGGUAAAAGCCUACCAAGGCGACGAUCCAUAGCUGGUCUGAGAGGAUGAUCAGCCACACUGGGACUGAGACACGGCCCAGACUCCUACGGGAGGCAGCAGUGGGGAAUAUUGGACAAUGGGCGAAAGCCUGAUCCAGCAAUGCCGCGUGAGUGAUGAAGGCCUUAGGGUUGUAAAGCUCUUUUACCCGGGAUGAUAAUGACAGUACCGGGAGAAUAAGCUCCGGCCAACUCCGUG
rnacentral:rRNA from 1 species